rnacentral:rRNA from 1 species
ACGACGCUGGCGGCGUGCCUAAUACAUGCAAGUCGAACGGUCUUUCUAUGGAAGCUUGCUUCCGCUGAGAAGAUAGUGGCGGACGGGUGAGUAACACGUGGGUAACCUGCCCAUAAGAGGGGGAUAACAUCCGGAAACGGGUGCUAAUACCGCAUAGUUUUUUGAUCGCAUGAUCGAGAAAGGAAAGACGGCCUUUGUGCUGUCGCUUAUGGAUGGACCCGCGGCGUAUUAGUUAGUUGGUGAGGUAAUGGCUCACCAAGACGAUGAUACGUAGCCGACCUGAGAGGGUGAUCGGCCACAUUGGGACUGAGACACGGCCCAAACUCCUACGGGAGGCAGCAGUAGGGAAUCUUCCGCAAUGGACGAAAGUCUGACGGAGCAACGCCGCGUGAGUGAAGAAGGUUUUCGGAUCGUAAAACUCUGUUGUCAGAGAAGAACAAGUUGGAGAGUAACUGCUCCAGCCUUGACGGUAUCUGACCAGAAAGCCACGGCUAACUACGUG